rnacentral:rRNA from 1 species
GCUUAACGCGAAGAACCUUACCAGGGUUUGACAUCCUACGACCGCUCCUUAAUAGGAGUUUUCCCGCAAGGGACGUAGAGACAGGUGCUGCAUGGCUGUCGUCAGCUCGUGUCGUGAGAUGUUGGGUUAAGUCCCGCAACGAGCGCAACCCUCGCCUUUAGUUGCCAUCAUUCAGUUGGGCACUCUAGAGGGACCGCCGGCGACAAGCCGGAGGAAGGUGGGGAUGACGUCAAGUCCUCAUGGCCCUUACACCCUGGGCUACACACGUGCUACAAUGGCGGUGACAGUGGGCAGCUACUCAGCGAUGAGCGGCUAAUCCCAAAAAACCGCCCCAGUUCAGAUUGCACUCUGCAACUCGAGUGCAUGAAGGUGGAAUCGCUAGUAAUCGCAGAACAGCAGGCUGCGGUGAAUACGUUCCCGGGUCUUGUACACACCG